GACAGAGGCCACAAGCGUUAGGCGGAAUCACUGGGCUUAAAGCGUGUGUAGGCGGAUCGUUAAGUGCCUUGUGAAAUCCCACGGCUCAACCGUGGAACGGCUGGGCAUACUGGCGAUCUUGAGCUGCUCAGGGGCGACUGGAACAGACGGUGGAGCGGUGAAAUGCGUAGAUAUCGUCUGGAACGCCAAUGGUGAAAACAGGUCGCUGGGGGCAUGCUGACGCUGAGACACGAAAGCCAGGGGAG
rnacentral:rRNA from 1 species